rnacentral:rRNA from 1 species
AUUGAACGCUGGCGGCAUGCCUUACACAUGCAAGUCGAACGGUAACGGGCCUUCGGGUGCCGACGAGUGGCGAACGGGUGAGUAAUGUAUCGGAACGUACCUUUCAGGGGGGGAUAACGUAGCGAAAGUUACGCUAAUACCGCAUAUUCUGUGAGCAGGAAAGCAGGGGAUCGCAAGACCUUGCGCUGAUUGAGCGGCCGAUAUCAGAUUAGCUAGUUGGUGAGGUAAAGGCUCACCACGGCGACGAUCUGUGGCGGGUCUGAGAGGAUGAUCCGCCACACUGGAACUGAGACACGGUCCAGACUCCUACGGGAGGCAGCGGUGGGGAAUUGUGGACAAUGGGAGCAACCCUGAUCCAGCCAGGCCGCGUGAGUGAAGAAGGCCUUCGGGUUGUAAAGCUCUUUCGGCCGGGAAGAAAUCGUAUCAGCUAAUACCUGGUGCGGAUGACGGUACCGGCAUAAGAAGCACCGGCUAACUACGUGCCAGCAGCCGCCGUAAUAC